GUGUCCCCUGAACAAGACACCAUCAGGGUCAUCCAGGACUACCUCCAGGGCAGAGCUGAGUUGAUGGCCAAACAGCUCCGCUUCCUCCGUAGUGUCCCACGUCUGUACUUCUUGGCACAGCAGCAGGGGCUGAACACUCUGGAGCCCCACGUCUCCAAAGCGGCCCUCGUGGAGAGCAUUGCAGAGCUGAUUGAAAAUCUGCCCAUGGUGCCAGAGCCAACCUCCAUCAUCUCCAGCUCCAUGGCUGCAGUUUGCAGCCUCAGGUACCAGGACCGUCCCAUCCAGCUGCC